GCCUAACACAUGCAAGUCGAACGACACCUUCGGGUCUAGUGGCGCACGGGUGCGUAACGCGUGGGAAUCUGCCCUUAGGUUCGGAAUAACAGUUAAAAAUGACUGCUAAUACCGGAUAAUGACGUAACUCCAAAUAUUUAUCGCCUAGGGAUGAGCCCGCGUAGGAUUAGCUAGUUGGGGGGGUAAAACCCUACCAAGGCGACGAUCCUUAGCUGGUCUGAGAGGAUGAUCACCCACACUGGGACUGAGACACGGCCCACACUCCUACGGGAGGCAGCAGUGGGGAAUAUUGGACAAUGGGCGAAAGCCUGAUCCAGCAAUGCCGCGUGAGUGAUGAAGGCCUUAGGGUUGUAAAGCUCUUUUACCCGGGAUGAUAAUGACAGUACCGGGAGAAUAACCUCCGGCUAACUCCGUGCCACCAGCCGCGGUAAUACGGAGGGAGCUAGCGUUGUUCGGAAUUACUGGGCGAAAAGCGCACGUAGGCGGUUUUGUAAGUUAAGAGGUGAAAGCCCGGAGCUCAACUCCGGAACUGCCUUUAAAGACUCGCUUCUCUUUGAAUCCAGGAGAGGUGAGUGAAAUUCCGAGUGUAGAGGUGAAA
rnacentral:rRNA from 1 species